rnacentral:rRNA from 1 species
CAGUAGCCACGGUAAUACGUAGGGCGCAAGCGUUAUCCGGAAUUAUUGGGCGUAAAGAGCUCGUAGGCGGUUUGUCGCGUCUGCCGUGAAAGUCCGGGGCUCAACCCCGGAUCUGCGGUGGGUACGGGCAGACUAGAGUGAUGUAGGGGAGACUGGAAUUCCUGGUGUAGCGGUGAAAUGCGCAGAUAUCAGGAGGAACACCGAUGGCGAAGGCAGGUCUCUGGGCAUUAACUGACGCUGAGGAGCGAAAGCAUGGGGAGCGAACAGGAUUAGAUACCCCAGUAGUCCCUGUCUCUUAUAU